rnacentral:rRNA from 1 species
GAUGAACGCUGGCGGCGUGCCUAAUACAUGCAAGUCGAGCGAAUGGAUUAAGAGCUUGCUCUUAUGAAGUUAGCGGCGGACGGGUGAGUAACACGUGGGUAACCUGCCCAUAAGACUGGGAUAACUCCGGGAAACCGGGGCUAAUACCGGAUAACAUUUUGAACCGCAUGGUUCGAAAUUGAAAGGCGGCUUCGGCUGUCACUUAUGGAUGGACCCGCGUCGCAUUAGCUAGUUGGUGAGGUAACGGCUCACCAAGGCAACGAUGCGUAGCCGACCUGAGAGGGUGAGCGGCCACACUGGGAGUGAGACACGGCGCAGACUCCCACGGGAGGCAGCAGUAGGGAAUCUUCCGCAAUGGACGAAAGUCGGACGGAGUAACGCCGCGUGAGUGAUGAAGGCUUUCGGGUCGUAAAACUCUGUCGUUAGGGAAGAACAAGUGCUAGUUGAAUAAGCUGGCACCUUGACGGUACCUAACCAGAAAGCCACGGCUAACUACGUGCCAGCCGCCGCCGCAG